rnacentral:tRNA from 5 species
GGAGAGCUGGCAGAACGGCUAUUGCACCGGUCUUGAAAACCGGCGCCCCGAAAGGGGCUUGUAGGUUCGAAUCCUACGCUCUCCG